rnacentral:rRNA from 1 species
AGGAGGCUCUUGGGUUGUAAACCUCUUUUCUCAGGGAAGAAAAAAUGACGGUACCUGAGGAAUAAGCAUCGGCUAACUCCGUGCCAGCAGCCGCGGUAAUACGGAGGAUGCAAGCGUUAUCCGGAAUGAUUGGGCGUAAAGCGUCCGCAGGUGGCAGUGUAAGUCUGCUGUUAAAGCGUCUGGCUCAACCAGAUAAGGGCAGUGGAAACUACACAGCUAGAGUACGUUCGGGGCAGAGGGAAUUCCUGGUGUAGCGGUGAAAUGCGUAGAGAUCAGGAAGAACACCGGUGGCGAAAGCGCUCUGCUAGGCCGUAACUGACACUGAGGGACGAAAGCUAGGGGAGCGAAUGGGAUUAGAUA